UACGGGGGGGGCAAGCGUUGUUCGGAAUUACUGGGCGUAAAGGGCUCGUAGGUGGCCAACUAAGUCAGACGUGAAAUCCCCAGGCUCAACUUGGGAACUGCGUCUGAUACUGGAUGGCUUGAAUUCGGGAGAGGGAUGCAGAAUUCCAGGUGUAGCGGUGAAAUGCGUAGAUAUCUGGAGGAAUACCGGUGGCGAAGGCGGCAUCCUGGACCGAUAUUGACACUGAUGAGCGAAAGCCAGGGGAGCAAACAGG
rnacentral:rRNA from 1 species